GACCCUCGGCGGGACUCGAACCCGUAACCCGCGGUUUAGGAGACCGAUACCUUACCCGUUUGGCUACGAGGGC